UGGGGAAUAUUGGGCAAUGGAGGGAACUCUGACCCAGCAACGCCGCGUGAAGGAUGAAGGUUUUCGGAUUGUAAACUUCUGUCGCGAGGGACGAAGAAUGACGGUACCUCGUAAGAAAGCCCCGGCUAACUACGUGCCAGCAGCCGCGGUAAUACGUAGGGGGCGAGCGUUGUCCGGAAUGACUGGGCGUAAAGGGAGUGUAGGCGGCUGUGCAAGUUAGAUGUGAAAUCCCAUGGCUUAACCAUGGAACUGCAUCUAAAACUGCAUAGCUGGAGUGCAGGAGAGGUGAGUGGAAUUCCUAGU
rnacentral:rRNA from 1 species